GGGCGAUUAGCUCAGUUGGUUCAGAGCAUCUGGUUUACACCCAGAGGGUCGGCGGUUCGAAUCCGUCAUCGCCCACAA
rnacentral:tRNA from 2 species